rnacentral:lncRNA from 1 species
AUGCUUCAGGAGAAUAUGCCUUGGGAAGAAUUUGUGAAAGCAGUCUGUGCAGUUACUCUAUGGAGCAGGGUACAGGGAACGACUGCCAAAUCUGACUUACCUAGAAAACGCCAAAGAGACUCCAGGAAGCACCCUUCAUGAAUAAACUUGUUCAGUCUCACGACCAUUCAAUGAAGUAGGUAUUCUAAAUUUAUUUUCAUUCCACAGUUGAAGAAAUGGAGGCUUA